rnacentral:rRNA from 1 species
GGGCCCGCACAAGCGGUGGAGCAUGUGGUUUAAUUCGAUGAUACGCGAGGAACCUUACCAGGGUUUAAAUGCAGAACGACAGGGGUGGAAACACCCCCUUCUUCGGACGGACUGCAAGGUGCUGCAUGGUUGUCGUCAGCUCGUGCUGUGAAGUGUCGGGUUAAGUCCCAUAACGAGCGCAACCCCCAUUUCUAGUUGCCAGCGGUUCGGCCGGGGACUCUAGAGAAACUGCCAGCGUAAGCUGUGAGGAAGGUGGGGAUGACGUCAAAUCAUCACGGCCCUUACAUCCUGGGCCACACACGUGCUACAAUGGUAGGGACAACAGGUUGCCAACCCGCGAGGGUGAGCCAA